GAUGAACGCUAGCGGCAGGCCUAAUACAUGCAAGCUGAACGGCCAGUUUGAUAGCAAUAUUGGACCUAGAGUGGCGCAAGGGUGCGUAACACGUAUGCAACCUGCCCCCGACAGGCGGAUAGCUCCCCGAAAGGGGAAUUAACCCUCUAUAACACCAUGAGAAGGCCUCUGACCAUGGUUAAACCGCAAGGGGUCGCGGUUCGGCAUGCGGUUGAUUAGCUAGUUGGCGGGGUAACGGCCCACCUAGGCGGUGAUCAUCGGGGGUUCUGCGAGCAAGGUCCCCCGCACUGGCACUGGGAUCCCGGCCUGACUCCAACGGGAGGCAGCAGUAGGGAUUAUUGGGCCAUGGUUGCAAGACUGAUCCAGCCAUUCCGCGUGCAGGAACAACGCCUUCUGAGGCGUAAACUGCUUUGUCCUGUGGAUAAAAGACCCGUGCGCGGGGAAUUGAAGGUAACAGGAGAAUAAGCCACGGCUAACUACGUG
rnacentral:rRNA from 1 species